rnacentral:rRNA from 1 species
UACGGAGGGGACUAGCGUUGUUCGGAUUUACUGGGCGUAAAGAGCGCGUAGGCGGUGUAUUAAGUUAGAAGUGAAAGCCUGGGGCUUAACCCCAGGAAAUCGCUUCUAAAACUGAUACGCUAGAGUGCGGGAGAGGAUAGUGGAAUUCCUAGUGUAGAGGUGAAAUUCUUAGAUAUUAGGAGGAACACCGGUGGCGAAAGCGACUAUCUGGAACGUUACUGACGCUGAGGCGCGAAAGCGUGGGGAGCAAACAGG